AACGUAGGAGACGAACGUUAUCCGGAGUUACUGGGCGUAAAGGGCGUGCAGGCGGCUUGAUAAGUUCGGCGUGAAAUUUCCCGGCUUAACCGGGGGAUGUCGUCGGAGACUGUCGAGCUAGAGGGUGAUAGAGGCGUGUGGAAUUCCGGGUGUAGUGGUGAAAUGCGUAGAGAUCCGGAGGAACACCAGUGGCGAAGGCGACACGCGGGGUCAUACCGGACGCUAAAACGCGACAGCAUGGGGAGCGAACGGG
rnacentral:rRNA from 1 species